GCCGUCAUCUUCAUCGCCCCUCCAUCUCCUUCCCCACCCUUCUCCGCCGGUAGCAGGAAGAUGCUGCGGGAGCAACACCCUCGUCCUUGCGGAGUGCAGCGGUUGCCGCCGAGAUGGAAUCGCCGUCGUCCUCAGCGGAGAGGAGCGCGAGCCACUGCCAAGCGGCUCCAGAGAGACAUGCCGAGCCAAGGCCACCAGCUCCUCCCGCAGCUCCACAGGCAAAACAGGGGUCUGCCUGUUCACGACGCCCAGUCGCUCGAGCUCUGCCCCGACUGCUUCUGCUGAGAUGGAGACGAGCACGGCAUGUCGAGGUCCCAGAGGUGUGAUGACAGAACCAUUUCCCCAGCGUUCUCUAUCAAGCCAAAGCCUGCAUCUACUACCUUGAGAGCAACACCCAACCUUCUGCAACAAGGUUGAACUUAUAGGGCAGUUAGCCACAUUGUUCAUACCUCAGUAACUAUCAUCACCUCCUGCCCAGCUGUGUUGAGAUUGAAUACAGGUCGAUCGGGUCUUAUUGGUAAGCAGCGGCUUGCCUCGCUGCAUAUGGAUCAACAACUUACGACACCCAACUUCCAACCUUGGAUCUAAUGACUUGAUGACAAAUUGUUUGUUGUAGAACACUCCGGUACUGCAUUCUCACUUUGCACCACCGUGUCGGCCAAAGAGACAACCAAAUAUCGAAGCGCAUACAUUAUACUGUACCAGACAAUGCAAAGGUGUGAAGUUCCCUUGUGCUCAAUGGCAACACAGAGCUUCUAGGCCUGACUUGUCAUUCUUCCUGCAGCAUGAUUUGAGGUUCAAAUCUUCGAUUCACGUAAUAUACUCCUUAGUUAAGCGUACUGAUGGUGGUUUGGAUUAGAUCAGGUAGCUGUUGGCACCCAUGAGGCUUCCAGAACAAACUGAAUUUAAUGUGUUGUCUCUAGGUGACACAGUUUAUGCCAUGAGUGUAUCAAAAACAAACUAUGGGCAAUUGAUGUGGCUAGCAGAAGAUAGUAGG